rnacentral:piRNA from 1 species
UAGGAAAGCACACUGAACAAGCCUGGAGGU